rnacentral:snRNA from 1 species
GUGCUAGCUUUGGCAGCAUGGAUGCUAAAAUUGGAACGAUAGAGAAGAUUAUCAUGGCCCCUGCGCAAGGAUGACACGCAAAUUCGUGAAGUGUUCCAUAUUUUU